rnacentral:tRNA from 1 species
UGGGUUGUAGCUCAGUGGUAGUGCACUUGCCUCACAUGUGUGAGGCACUGGGUUCAAUCCUCAGCACCACAU